rnacentral:lncRNA from 1 species
GUAAGAAUCCUUGUACGCCAAUCCUACAUGAUAUACAUAUUUUUGCACUAUAUAUGUUUGAUAUGCUAUGAUCCAGACAAAGCAAAAUAGUUUUAUAUUUAAUUAUAUUUUGAUCGUGUUGGCUUGUGGUUGGUAGUGUGAUGGAUGCCUGUAUGUGUAUAACUUAUACCUGCAUAAUUGAAUUUAUGGAUGUGAUGGUAUGGACUAACCAUGUUAUAGUGAUUGCCCUGUCACGGGCCGGAAACGUGACCAUGGUUAGUCUAGGCCGGAAAUAAAGUGGAAAAGGGAAUGGAUGUGUGUUUGUGAAUUGAUUAAAUGAACAGGGACUUUGGGCUUAUCUCGUUAUUAUUGAUUGCCCCAUCACAGGCUAGAAAUGUGAUAUUAUCGAUUGCCUCGUCACAGGCUGAAAAUGUGAUACUAUCGAUUGCCCCAACACAGGCCGGAAAUGUGAUACUAUUGAUUGCCCCGUCACGGGCCGGAAACGUGACUGGGAUGUAGCCCAAAGUCGG